GAGGCGGGUGGCGGUCAGGCAGCCCUCACGGCUCGGCCCGGGUUUGAGCUCUGCCCAGUCGAGCCUCGCCUCAGCAGCAGUACCCAGAAAUGCCAGCAACUCGACCCAAAAUGGCUGAGGCGGCUCGGUCUCAGGGCUGCCAGUGAAGGCUUAACGCGGUUAAGGGAAAAGCGAGGUGUUCGGCGUCACCGAGCUCGGGAGCUCCCCGGGCAGCCCCCAGGCACCGCAUCGUCCUGGCAAGAGCAGCUCCUCUACGGCCUCGCAGGCGCAGCAUAAGUAGGGGCUAUUUAAACUGUUAAUUCUACCAUGGAAAUCACUUCUCCUCCCAUUAGUCUGUUUCUGGCUCUACGCUUGUUCGCCCACCGAGUGAAUAAACCAGAAAGGUAACUGUAUCGUUCACUCGCCUGAACUUUUGAAAAGCUGUUUCCUAUAAAGCCAGAAUCCUGAAUACGAACACUCAUAGAGUGAAUAAACACGGUCUGAAGAAAGAAAGAAUUAAUGAAAAAUCUCUCUCCUAUUUGUUUUGAAUAAUUGCCAUCGGACCCCUAAUAUCUGGGAAGUUUUUUCUGUUUUGUGUAUGGAAGAGAUUUAAAGAAAAAGACAGGUUAGCUGAAGUCACCUUUGUGCACAGAAUGGGCAUUGUGGAAUAAACCAUCAGAAAAUUUAGUGUGGCACCCACUGCACCCUGGAAAGGCUAAAAUAGAGAGGAGCACCUAUGUGAGAGACACGAAGCUCUGACUUGCUAAGCCAUCCCCAAAUCACAGUGUUGGUCCUCUACUUUCGGUGUUGUGAACUCAUGCGGAAGGAGGACAGUACAGGUUAUCCCACUUCAAGGUACUGCAGAAUUGGAAGGAUGAAUCGUUAAGACUGUGGAAAGGUGCACAUCUGAGCAGAGAGUGGAAAAAACUUCACCUAAGAAAACAGACAAGGAGUUUGAAAGUAAGUGUCUAGAAAAAGUUGAGAAGAACAGCAAUUCUGGUUCUCCUGUUUUCAUAGCAUAAAAAACAAGGAGGCACUUAAUGACGUUAUAAUUUAGAAAAUUAAACACAGAUUGAAAGAGAUACUUUUUCAACCAAUGUAAUUGUAUGGUAGUUCACUACCAAAGAACAUGGGCCAGGAAACCUGCAAGAGCCAACAAAGCAUGCUUAGCAGAUACCAGAAAUGUUACUGCAUCAUUCACUCUCCAGAACUUUUGAAAAGCUGUUUUGUUUAAAGCUAGGACCCUGAAUUUAAACAUUUUCCGGAAGUCAAAAUGAGAUCUGCCAUUAAGGAAGAGUUCUCUCAAAUCUGUGUGGAUAAGAUAACUUGCUAUUGCUUGACCAGCAUCAAACAUCGGACUUGACAGACCCCAGUUCCCAUUGGGCACAAUCUGGAACUGUAAAACAACAUGCCUUACCAGCCUCAACACCCAUGUUACAAACGUGAGGAGGCAGCUGCAGGAGAGAGAUGCCCAUCUCCUGCUACCAUGCUGCUGAGGCUUCUGUAGAAAAGAAGAAAUAAAAGAAGAGUCAAAAGCUCUCAAGACUGAGUCUCAGGAUGGUUGGUGAUGGAAGACAUCUUUGGAGAUCAUCUUGCCCAGCCCCUCUGCCUAGAGCUGUGCCAACUACAGCAGGUUUCUCAAGGCCAUGGUCAGGCAACUUGGCGACAAGGAGCACUGAGCAGUGCCAGCGAUGGCUGGGACACAUGCUGAGGAGCUGGCUGGCUUCUAGCUCUCCGAGCUGCCAGAGGCACACACCAGGUUUCUCAUGGUGCACACUCCAGGGGAUGAGAUCCAGUUUCCAGAUGAUUGCAAUGUUUGCUGAUGACUGUCUUCAGUCAGCAAGCAUGAAUAAGAGAGCACAAAGUCUUGAUGUCCUGGAAUCGUCCCUGUGAGUCGGCCCAUGGAAAACUUUAGAUGGGGCACUAAGUUCUACGCACCAGAGAGGUCCAUCCAUUGCUACUGGCCAGCUGUGCACUUCUGUGUGAGGAUUCUGUGAGAGAAUUAAAUGAUGGGAGUAUGAAAGUGGCAUCGUCAAGGCCAAGUUAAC